AUCCCAUGAUAAGGGAAAUUCCUUAACAACUCUUUGAAUCUCCCCCAUGCAUCAUACUAUGAUUCCCUCUCCAUCUGAUAGAAAUUAUUAAUUUCUCCCCUUAACUU